GUCCACGCCCUAAACGAUGUCUACUUGCUGUUGGGUGUAAAAGCUUAGUAGCGAAGCUAACGCGAGAAGUAGACCGCCUGGGGAGUACGGUCGCAAGAUUAAAACUCAAAGGAAUUGACGGGGACCCGCACAAGCGGUGGAUGAUGUGGAUUAAUUCGAUGCAACGCGAAGAACCUUACCUGCUCUUGACAUGUAUGGAAGAUUUCAGAGAUGAGAUUGUGCCUUCGGGAACCAUAACACAGGUGCUGCAUGGCUGUCGU
rnacentral:rRNA from 1 species